rnacentral:rRNA from 1 species
GGGUUGUGAGGUUAAGCGACUAAGCGUACACGGUGGAUGCCCUGGCAGUCAGAGGCGAUGAAGGACGUGCUAAUCUGCGAUAAGCGUCGGUAAGGUGAUAUGAACCGUUAUAACCGGCGAUUUCCGAAUGGGGAAACCCAGUGUGUUUCGACACACUAUCAUUAACUGAAUCCAUAGGUUAAUGAGGCGAACCGGGGGAACUGAAACAUCUAAGUACCCCGAGGAAAAGAAAUCAACCGAGAUUCCCCCAGUAGCGGCGAGCGAACGGGGAGCAGCCCAGAGCCUGAAUCAGUGUGUGUGUUAGUGGAAGCGUCUGGAAAGGCGCGCGAUACAGGGUGACAGCCCCGUACACAAAAAUGCACAUGCUGUGAGCUCGAUGAGUAGGGCGGGACACGUGGUAUCCUGUCUGAAUAUGGGGGGACCAUCCUCCAAGGCUAAAUACUCCUGACUGACCGAUAGUGAACCAGUACCGUGAGGGAAAGGCGAAAAGAACCCCGGCGAGGGGAGUGAAAAAGAACCUGAAACCGUGUACGUACAAGCAGUGGGAGCACGCUUAGGCGUGUGACUGCGUACCUUUUGUAUAAUGGGUCAGCGACUUAUAUUCUGUAGCAAGGUUAACCGAAUAGGGGAGCCGAAGGGAAACCGAGUCUUAACUGGGCGUUAAGUUGCAGGGUAUAGACCCGAAACCCGGUGAUCUAGCCAUGGGCAGGUUGAAGGUUGGGUAACACUAACUGGAGGACCGAACCGACUAAUGUUGAAAAAUUAGCGGAUGACUUGUGGCUGGGGGUGAAAGGCCAAUCAAACCGGGAGAUAGCUGGUUCUCCCCGAAAGCUAUUUAGGUAGCGCCUCGUGAAUUCAUCUCCGGGGGUAGAGCACUGUUUCGGCAAGGGGGUCAUCCCGACUUACCAACCCGAUGCAAACUGCGAAUACCGGAGAAUGUUAUCACGGGAGACACACGGCGGGUGCUAACGUCCGUCGUGAAGAGGGAAACAACCCAGACCGCCAGCUAAGGUCCCAAAGUCAUGGUUAAGUGGGAAACGAUGUGGGAAGGCCCAGACAGCCAGGAUGUUGGCUUAGAAGCAGCCAUCAUUUAAAGAAAGCGUAAUAGCUCACUGGUCGAGUCGGCCUGCGCGGAAGAUGUAACGGGGCUAAACCAUGCACCGAAGCUGCGGCAGCGACGCUUAUGCGUUGUUGGGUAGGGGAGCGUUCUGUAAGCCUGUGAAGGUGUGCUGUGAGGCAUGCUGGAGGUAUCAGAAGUGCGAAUGCUGACAUAAGUAACGAUAAAGCGGGUGAAAAGCCCGCUCGCCGGAAGACCAAGGGUUCCUGUCCAACGUUAAUCGGGGCAGGGUGAGUCGACCCCUAAGGCGAGGCCGAAAGGCGUAGUCGAUGGGAAACAGGUUAAUAUUCCUGUACUUGGUGUUACUGCGAAGGGGGGACGGAGAAGGCUAUGUUGGCCGGGCGACGGUUGUCCCGGUUUAAGCGUGUAGGCUGGUUUUCCAGGCAAAUCCGGAAAAUCAAGGCUGAGGCGUGAUGACGAGGCACUACGGUGCUGAAGCAACAAAUGCCCUGCUUCCAGGAAAAGCCUCUAAGCAUCAGGUAACAUCAAAUCGUACCCCAAACCGACACAGGUGGUCAGGUAGAGAAUACCAAGGCGCUUGAGAGAACUCGGGUGAAGGAACUAGGCAAAAUGGUGCCGUAACUUCGGGAGAAGGCACGCUGAUAUGUAGGUGAAGUCCCUCGCGGAUGGAGCUGAAAUCAGUCGAAGAUACCAGCUGGCUGCAACUGUUUAUUAAAAACACAGCACUGUGCAAACACGAAAGUGGACGUAUACGGUGUGACGCCUGCCCGGUGCCGGAAGGUUAAUUGAUGGGGUUAGCGGUAACGCGAAGCUCUUGAUCGAAGCCCCGGUAAACGGCGGCCGUAACUAUAACGGUCCUAAGGUAGCGAAAUUCCUUGUCGGGUAAGUUCCGACCUGCACGAAUGGCGUAAUGAUGGCCAGGCUGUCUCCACCCGAGACUCAGUGAAAUUGAACUCGCUGUGAAGAUGCAGUGUACCCGCGGCAAGACGGAAAGACCCCGUGAACCUUUACUAUAGCUUGACACUGAACAUUGAGCCUUGAUGUGUAGGAUAGGUGGGAGGCUUAGAAGUGUGGACGCCAGUCUGCAUGGAGCCGACCUUGAAAUACCACCCUUUAAUGUUUGAUGUUCUAACGUUGACCCGUAAUCCGGGUUGCGGACAGUGUCUGGUGGGUAGUUUGACUGGGGCGGUCUCCUCCUAAAGAGUAACGGAGGAGCACGAAGGUUGGCUAAUCCUGGUCGGACAUCAGGAGGUUAGUGCAAUGGCAUAAGCCAGCUUGACUGCGAGCGUGACGGCGCGAGCAGGUGCGAAAGCAGGUCAUAGUGAUCCGGUGGUUCUGAAUGGAAGGGCCAUCGCUCAACGGAUAAAAGGUACUCCGGGGAUAACAGGCUGAUACCGCCCAAGAGUUCAUAUCGACGGCGGUGUUUGGCACCUCGAUGUCGGCUCAUCACAUCCUGGGGCUGAAGUAGGUCCCAAGGGUAUGGCUGUUCGCCAUUUAAAGUGGUACGCGAGCUGGGUUUAGAACGUCGUGAGACAGUUCGGUCCCUAUCUGCCGUGGGCGCUGGAGAACUGAGGGGGGCUGCUCCUAGUACGAGAGGACCGGAGUGGACGCAUCACUGGUGUUCGGGUUGUCAUGCCAAUGGCACUGCCCGGUAGCUAAAUGCGGAAGAGAUAAGUGCUGAAAGCAUCUAAGCACGAAACUUGCCCCGAGAUGAGUUCUCCCUGACUCCUUGAGAGUCCUGAAGGAACGUUGAAGACGACGACGUUGAUAGGCCGGGUGUGUAAGCGCAGCGAUGCGUUGAGCUAACCGGUACUAAUGAACCGUGAGGCUUAACCUUACAACGCCGAAG